rnacentral:rRNA from 1 species
UACGUAGGGUCCGAGCGUUGUCCGGAAUUAUUGGGCGUAAAGAGCUCGUAGGUGGUUUGUCGCGUUGUUCGUGAAAACUCACAGCUUAACUGUGGGCGUGCGGGCGAUACGGGCAGACUGGAGUACUGCAGGGGAGACUGGAAUUCCUGGUGUAGCGGUGGAAUGCGCAGAUAUCAGGAGGAACACCGGUGGCGAAGGCGGGUCUCUGGGCCGUAACUGACGCUGAGGAGCGAAAGCGUGGGGAGCGAACAGG